rnacentral:rRNA from 1 species
AGAGUUGAUCAUGGCUCAGGAUGAACGCUGGCGGCAGGCUUAAUACAUGCAAGUCGAACGGUAAGGCCGAGUGCAGCAAUGCAUGAGGUACACGAGUGGCGCACGGGUGCGUAACGCGUAUGCAACCUGCCCCGCACCGGGACAAAACAGCUGGAAACGGCUGCUAAUAUCCCAUAGUCACCAGGAAGGGCAUCCUUUCGGGUGUAAAGAUUUAUUGGUACGGGAUGGGCAUGCGUAUUAUUAGGUAGUUGGCGGGUAACGGCCACCAAGCCGACGAUGAUUAGGGGUCCUGAGAGGGUUAUCCCCCACACUGGAACUGAGACACGGUCCAGACUCCUACGGGAGGCAGCAGUAGGGAAUAUUGGGCAAUGGGAGCAAUCCUGACCCAGCCAUGCCGCGUGAAGGAAGACGGCCCUAUGGGUUGUAAACUUCUUUUGCCGCAGAGUAAACCCGGCCACGUGUGGUCGGUUGAGAGUAUGCGGCGAAUAAGUAUCGGCUAACUCCGUGCCAGCAGCAGC